rnacentral:rRNA from 1 species
UACGAAGGGAGCUAGCGUUGUUCGGAAUCACUGGGCGUAAAGCGCACGUAGGCGGAUUUGUAAGUCAGGGGUGAAAUCCCGGGGCUCAACCUCGGAACUGCCUUUGAUACUGCAAAUCUCGAGUCCGAUAGAGGUGGGUGGAAUUCCUAGUGUAGAGGUGAAAUUCGUAGAUAUUAGGAAGAACACCGGUGGCGAAGGCGGCCCACUAGAUCGGUACUGACGCUGAGGUGCGAAAGCGUGGGGAGCAAACAGG